GCAAGUCGAGCGCGAAAGCACUUAGGUGUGAGUAGAGCGGCGGACGGGUGAGUAACGCGUAAGAAUCUACCUAGUAGUGGGGGACAACUCGAGGAAACUCGAGCUAAUACCGCAUACGCCCUACGGGGGAAAGCGGGGGACCUUCGGGCCUCGUGCUAUCGGAUGAGCCUGCGUUGGAUUAGCUUGUUGGUGAGGUAAAGGCUCACCAAGGCGACGAUCCAUAGCUGGUCUGAGAGGAUGAUC
rnacentral:rRNA from 1 species